rnacentral:rRNA from 1 species
CACGCCGUAAACGAUGAAUGCUAGCCGUUGGCGAGCUUGCUCGUCAGUGGCGCAGCUAACGCUUUAAGCAUUCCGCCUGGGGAGUNGCGCAGAACCUUACCAGCCCUUGACAUCCCGGUCGCGGAGAGCAGAGACGCACUCCUUCAGUUCGGCUGGACCGGAGACAGGUGC